rnacentral:rRNA from 1 species
AAUAUUGCACAAUGGGGGAAACCCUGACGCAGCGACGCCGCGUGAUUGAAGAAGUAUUUCGGUAUGUAAAGCUCUAUCAGCAGGGAAGAAAAUGACGGUACCAGACUAAAAAGCCCCGGCAAACUACGUGCCAGUAGCCGCGGUAAUACGCAGGGGGCAAGCGUUAUCCGGAUUUACUGGGUGUAAAGGGAGCGUCGGUGGUUUGGUAAGUCAGAUGUGAAAGCCCGGGGCUCAACCCCGGGACUGCAUUUGAAACUAUCAAACUAGAGUGCAGGAGAGGUAAGUGGAAUUCCUAGUGUAGCGGUGAAAUGCGUAGAUAUUAGGAGGAACACCAGUGGCGAAGGCGGCUUACUGGACUGUAACUGACACUGAGGCUCGAAAGCGUGGGGAGCAAACAG